AAGAGAAGCACAAAGAGGUUAAGUUGCUUGACCAAGGUGGCACAAUGAGGUUUUUAUAACCAGGCAGUGUGACCCAAAGUCCAUACCUAGUUGGAGCAGGCUAAUAGGUAUAACCAAUGACCCCAACAUUUCGGUGACUAACAAUAAGAUUUGUUUAGAUGCUCCUCUCCAACCAGCUUGUCUCUAAGGAUGAUUCAAAGACACAGGCUCCUCCCAUCAUGUGGCUUUGCCCUCCUCUGCAUCCUUAGAAACCGCACGAUUUGGCCUGCUAAUGGGGAAAGAGCAUGGAGGAUUCUGCAUUGGAAGGUUUCAUACAUAAGUCCGGAAGUGGUGUGCAGACUCCAUCCACAUUCCAUCAGACAGGCUCAGUCAUGUGGCCUGGUAGAGACUUAAUCCAAGAAGACUAAUUGAACAUUAAGCAUUUUAAUCAUCCCACACUGUCAAACCUGUCUUCUCAUUACUGAGAAUUGGAUAGGCCAUGAGCUUAAUUGUGUUCCUGGCAAUGCAUGGCUUAUCUGGGACCUCUUCUGUACCGUUUCUCACACAGCUGCAAUCAAGGUGUUGACCAGGACUGACACCCCAUCAGAGUUCAGCUGGGGAAGGAUCCACUUCCAAGUUCAUGUGGUUGUUGGCUAAAUUCAGUUCCUUGAUGGCUAUUCUUUUCUUUUGCCUCUUUCUUCAUCUGGUCAUCUAGUAACAACCAUGAUCAUCAGGGUGAGUCUAUAAUCCAUGAUGGGCCAAACUUCGGACCAUAUCAUCUUGCCCAUGGUGAUUGGUUUGGAAUGGGUGUCUAUCCCACCAAAGUCAAUCAGAUCUCAUUCCUGUGAUUGAAGUAUGGAUUCUGGAAGAAAGGAAUUGACUCUUCCCAGUGAUAUUGCUAUGAAGAUAUACUAGUAAUCUAUUUGACCAAUGGUGAUCUUCACUUUAAUUGGAAAAAUGCCCAUGCUGCAUAGAAGCUAAGAGACAAAAAAGCUAGCUGGUGAUACUUUGAACCCUCAAAAAAAUCAUGAAUAAUGCUUAUUCUCUAUGUUUUUCUCAAUUAUAUGAGCCAAUAAAUGCCUCUUUUCUUUUUUGUUUUAUAAAAACUAUCUAAGAACUGAA